AUUGAACGCUGGCGGCAUGCCUUACACAUGCAAGUCAAACGGUAACAGGACUUCGGAUGCUGACGAGUGGCGAACGGGUGAGUAAUACAUCGGAACGUGCCCGAUCGUGGGGGAUAACGAAGCGAAAGCUUUGCUAAUACCGCAUAAGAUCUACGGAUGAAAGCAGGGGACCGCAAGGCCUUGUGCGAACGGAGCGGCCGAUGGCAGAUUAGGUAGUUGGUGGGAUAAAAGCUUACCAAGCCGACGAUCUGUAGCUGGUCUGUGAGGACGACCAGCCACACUGGGACUGAGACACGGCCCAGACUCCUACGGGAGGCAGCAGUGGGGAAUUUUGGACAAUGGGCGAAAGCCUGAUCCAGCCAUGCCGCGUGCAGGAUGAAGGCCUUCGGGUUGUAAACUGCUUUUGUACGGAACGAAAAGACUCUUUCUAAUAAAGAGGGUCCAUGACGGUACCGUAAGAAUAAGCACCGGCUAACUACGUGCCAGCAGCCGCCGUAAUAC
rnacentral:rRNA from 1 species